rnacentral:rRNA from 1 species
CUACGGGAGGCUGCAGUGGGGAAUAUUGCACAAUGGAGGAAACUCUGAUGCAGCAACGCCGCGUGGAGGAUGACACUUUUCGGAGCGUAAACUCCUUUUAUAUAGGAAGAAGAUGACGGUACUAUAUGAAUAAGCGCCGGCUAACUCCGUGCCAGCAGCCGCGGUAAUACGGAGGGCGCAAGCGUUACUCGGAAUCACUGGGCGUAAAGAGCGUGUAGGCGGAUUAAAAAGUCAGAAGUGAAAUCCUAUAGCUUAACUAUAGAACUGCUUCUGAAACUCUUAAUCUAGAAUAUGGGAGAGGUAGAUGGAAUUACUGGUGUAGGGGUAAAAUCCGUAGAGAUCAGAAGGAAUACCGAUUGCGAAGGCGAUCUACUAGAACAUUAUUGACGCUGAGACGCGAAAGCGCGGGGAGCAAACAGGAUUAGAUACCCUUGUAGUC